AUGACAUAUUUUAUGUUUUUUUAGCUGCUCUGUGUAGUGUGUAAUGACAAUUUUAUGUUUUUUUAGUUGUUCUGUGUAGUGUGUAAUGACAUAUUUUAUGUUUUUUUUUUAGUUGCUCUGUGUAGUGUGUAAUGACAUAUUUUAUGUUUUUUUGAGCUGCUCUGUGUAGUGUGUAAUGACAUAUUUUAUGUUUUUUUGAAGUUGCUCUGUGUAGUGUGUAAUGACAUAUUUUAUUUUUUUUAGUUGCUCUGUGUAGUGUGUAAUGACAUAUUUUAUGUUUUUUUUAGCUGCUCUGUGUAGUGUGUAAUGACAUAUUUUAUGUUUUUUUAGCUGCUCUGUGUAGUGUGUAAUGACAUAUUUUAUGUUUUUUUGAGUUGCUCUGUGUAGUGUGUAAUGACAUAUUUUAUGUGUUUUUUUUAGUUGCUCUGUGUAGUGUGUAAUGACAUAUUUUAUGUUUUUUUUGAGUUGCUCUGUGUAGUGUGUAAUGACAUAUUUUAUGUUUUUUGAGUUGCUCUGUGUAGUGUGUAAUGACAUAUUUUAUGUUUUUUUUUGAGUUGCUCUGUGUAGUGUGUAAUGACAUAUUUUAUGUUUUUUUGAGUUGCUCUGUGUAGUGUGUAAUGACAUAUUUUAUGUUUUUUUGAGCUGCUCUGUGUAGUGUGUAAUGACAUAUUUUAUGUUUUUUUUGAGUUGCUCUGUGUAGUGUGUAAUGACAUAUUUUAUGUUUUUUUUUAGUUGCUCUGUGUAGUGUGUAAUGACAUAUUUUAUGUUUUUUUGAGUUGCUCUGUGUAGUGUGUAAUGACAUAUUUUAUGUUUUUUUUAGUUGCUCUGUGUAGUGUGUAAUGACAUAUUUUAUGUUUUUUUAGUUGCUCUGUGUAGUGUGUAAUGACAUAUUUUAUGUUUUUUUUAGCUGCUCUGUGUAGUGUGUAAUGACAUAUUUAUGUUGUUUUUUAAAGCUGCUCUGUGUAGUGUGUAAUGACAUAUUU
rnacentral:lncRNA from 1 species